rnacentral:rRNA from 1 species
CUACGGGCUGCUCCAGUGAGGAAUAUUGCACAAUGGGGGGGACCCUGAUGCAGCAACGCCGCGUGGAGGAUGACGCAUUUCGGUGUGUAAACUCCUUUUAUAUGUCAAGAAAAUGACGGUAGCAUAUGAAUAAGCACCGGCUAACUCCGUGCCAGCAGCCGCGGGUAAUACGGAGGGUGCAAGCGUUACUCGGAAUCACUGGGCGUAAAGGAUGCGUAGGCGGGUUGGAAAGUCAGGUGUGAAAUCCUACAGCUUAACUGUAGAACUGCACUUGAAACUUCUAAUCUAGAGUAUGGGAGGGGGAGAUGGAAUUAGUGGUGUAGGGGUAAAAUCCGUAGAUAUCACUAGGAAUACCUAAAGCGAAGGCGAUCUCCUGGAACAUUACUGACGCUAAGGCGUGAAAGCGUGGGGAGCAAACAGGAUUAGAUACCCCCGUAGUC